AAGACUCGUGAAGUCAUUUCUUCUUUCCAACAAUGAAGAAUUUCCAGAAGACAUGUCCGAGUUUCUUUCAUCCAAACUUAAAUUUUUCAAUUUCAUAACUUAACUUCAUCGAUACCGUGUGUUCAAAAUUUUCAAUAAGUACCUUGUGCCAUAGGCAUACAAAGCGAGAGGUUGUGUCUGCUAGCUCAAGCUAAGAUAUUUCGCCAAAGUAGAUAACAUCAAUUUUCCGAGUUGGGAUUUCAAAUACUGCUUUUCAAUCUCAAGAAUGUUAAAAUUAUCGGCUGCCUUAUGACAUGGUUGGAGGCGUGGUCUGAAGCAGAGUUUUGAAAGGUCAAAAGUAUUGUUGCACUUGGCUGAACUGGUUGAGAAACAUAAUGAUCAAAUUGCAACGUUUGAGACUUGGGACACUGAGAAGCCAUAUGAACAGGCUGUUAAGAUUGGAGUACGCUGGUUGUACAUCCCCGUUAUUAUGCUCUUAGCUUUAAACUCAGUAAGAACUACAUUGAGGUACAAUGUACCAUAUAAAGUCGGGGUUUCUUGAUUGACAUACGACAAAUGGAGAGCUCUGACUAUGCAUCGGUCUCUCACCAAAAAGGUAUGGUAACCUCAAAAAAACUUUCCUUGAAUCUGAAGACGAGAGUACUUCAAUAAGGAAAUUCGUGAGGAGCCUGUUGGCCAAGACCAUUAAUAGGUUUUGAUUGAAUAACCAAUGUAUAGUCAUUCUUGAUUAUAUCCAUUAAUUUCCUUAUUUCGUAUCAUAGAAUAAGAAUCUAUACUAAAAAAAAUAUUUGCGAGGUUAUAGUUACCAGAUACUCUUAGUCAUGGAUACACUAUAAGCUUCCACAAAUGUUAAAAAAGACAUCUAAUAUGUAUGUGACAAAGGAUCAAUUGUACAUGUAAUGGUAAGUCCCAAAUCUUACAAAUUAUAUCAGAGACAAAUUUGCCCUUAAUUAGUUGUAAACACUCGAGAAAAGUUAUUUUGAUACCAUCAUCUUUA